GUCACACAGUAUGUCGGGCGAGUUGGGCGCGGUGAGUUGGCUAUGGUGAGUUGUCCUCAUUGAGUUAUCUGUACUGAGUUGUCCAAGCCGAGUUGUCCUAGAUCAUUGGCAACUGACUCAUAAUUAUGAGGGUUGCAGGGAUCACGGGAUUACUUUUUGCGUUCUUCUGACCAGCAAAGUCAGAGUGGAAGCCAGAUUCAUUUAACAAUCCUAUUACUAAUCUAACAACUGCAGUGGUUCAUUCAACAGCUGUAACAAGAAAGGUCGUAAAAUGGGACCUUAAAACUCAUUUAAUUGUCUUACUAUUCGACAGAGAUUUGGGGUUGUAAGUCAAGGACUAGCAGUAUGAGAAAAAACACUCUUGAUAACAUAAACUCUUGCCAUAUAUCAAUGUCAGUUGUUUUUCUGAUUGCUGCAAUGGAUGGAUUAAAAUCAAAGAAGAGUAAAUAACAAAGCUUUAUGUCAGGAGUGUCAAACUCACAGCCUGAGGCCGGAUGUGUCACGUGCUGGCCACCCCCACCCCCCAUUUAGCAAAGGGGAAUAAAGUUGCGAUUGGUCACAUGAUGACAACAUGUCAUCGCAAGAUUGACACCUCUGCUUUAUGGGCUUGAAUAAACUCACGAGAGUGCAUGCAGUUUGCACUGAGUGAGA